UGGCGCACGGGUGAGUAAUAUAUAGGUAACGUGCCUCUUAGUCUGGGAUAGCCAUUGGAAACGAUGAUUAAUACUAGAUACUCCUUCUCAUUAUAAUUUGAGUCGGGAAAGUUUUUCGCUAAGAGAUCGGCCUAUAUCCCAUCAGUUAGUUGGUAAGGUAACGGCUUACCAAGGCAAUGACGGGUAGCGGGUUUGAGAGGAUGAUCCGCCACACUGGUACUGAGACACGGACCAGACUCCUACGGGAGGCAGCAGUGAGGAAUAUUGCACAAUGGAGGAAACUCUGAUGCAGCAACGCCGCGUGGAGGAUGACGCAUUUCGGUGUGUAAACUCCUUUUAUAAGGGAAGAAAAUGACGGUACCUUAUGAAUAAGCACCGGCUAACUCCGUGCCAGCAGCCGCGGUAAUACGGAGGGUGCAAGCGUUACUCGGAAUCACUGGGCGUAAAGGACACGUAGGCGGGUUGUCAAGUCAGGUGUGAAAUCCUACAGCUUAACUGUAGAACUGCACUUGAAACUGGCAACCUAGAGUAUGGGAGGGGGAGAUGGAAUUAGUGGUGUAGGGGUAAAAUCCGUAGAUAUCACUAGGAAUACCGAAAGCGAAGGCGAUCUCCUGGAACAUUACUGACGCUAAGGUGUGAAAGCGUGGGGAGCAAACGGGAUUAGAUACCCCGGUAGUCCACGCCCUAAACGAUGAACACUAGUCGUCGGGAUGCUAGUCAUCUCGGUGAUGCACUUAACAGAUUAAGUGUUCC
rnacentral:rRNA from 1 species